rnacentral:rRNA from 1 species
AGCGAACGCUGGCGGCAGGCUUAACACAUGCAAGUCGAGCGCCCCGCAAGGGGAGCGGCAGACGGGUGAGUAACACGUGGGAACGUGCCUUUUAGUUCGGAACAACCCAGGGAAACUUGGGCUAAUACCGGAUAAGCCCUUACGGGGAAAGAUUUAUCGCCAAAAGAUCGGCCCGCGUCUGAUUAGCUAGUUGGUGGGGUAAUGGCCCACCAAGGCUACGAUCAGUAGCUGGUCUGAGAGGAUGAUCGGCCACAUUGGGACUGAGGCACGGCCCAAACUCCUACGGGAGGCAGCAGUGGGGAAUAUUGGACAAUGGGGGCAACCCUGAUCCAGCCAUGCCGCGUGAGUGAUGAAGGCCUUAGGGUUGUAAAGCUCUUUUAGCAGGGAAGAUAAUGACGGUACCUGCAGAAAAAGCCCCGGCUAACUUCGUGCCAGCAGCCGCCGCGG